UAUUCGGAAUCACUGGGCGUAAAGGGCGNGUAGGGCGCCUGGUAAGUCAGGGGUGAAAUCCCACGGCUCAACCGUGGAAUUGCCUUUGAAACUGCUGGGCUUGGAUCCUGGAGAGGGUGGCGGAAUUCCUGGUGUAGGAGUGAAAUCCGUAGAUAUCAGGAGGAACACCGGUGGCGAAGGCGGCCACCUGGACAGGUAUCGACGCUGAGGCGCGAAAGUGUGGGGAGCAAACAGGAUUAGAUACCCUGGUAGUCCACACCGUAAACGAUGGAUACUAGGUGUUGGGGGCAUGACCCUCAGUGCCGGAGCUAACGCGUUAAGUAUCCCGCCUGGGGAGUACGGUCGCAAGGCUGAAACUCAAAGAAAUUGACGGGGGCCCGCACAAGCGGUGGAGUAUGUGGUUUAAUUCGAUGCAACGCGAAGAACCUUACCUGGGCUUGACAUCCUGGGAAUCCUGCAGAGAUGCGGGAGUGCCCUUCGGGGAAACCAGAGACAGGUGCUGCAUGGCUAUCGUCAACUCGUGCCGUGAGUGUUUGGGUUAAGUCCCGCAACGAGCGCAACCCUUGUUCCUAGUUGCCAUCAAGUGAAGCUGGGCACUCUAAGGAGACUGCCCGGGUCAACCGGAGGAAGGUGGGGACGACGUCAAGUCAUCAUGGCCUUACGCCAAGGGCUACACACGUACUACAAUGGCGAGUACAAAGGCAGCGAUACG
rnacentral:rRNA from 1 species